rnacentral:misc_RNA from 1 species
CAAAAAUAGGAUCAUUGAGCACCCUACUGCCCACAUGAUGUUCCGUAUCCAAGACACCAAGCAGCGCUCCAAGGGCCAUGCGAUCAAUGUUUUGGCAAAGACAGCAUGGNACAUAGAGACCGCUUCGAGGUUCGUUCAACGCCGCAAGCAACGUAUAACGAAAUCAUCUUUCAUCUAGCCACACAUUGCCUUCGUUAGGUAUGCAACACAGAAACCCACCAUAUGCACAAGACAAUUAGAGCCUUGUAACACAACUGAAGAGGCAUGAACGCAUGGAAGUUGCUGCGCAAGCAGACAUCCAACCACCAUUAACAUGCCAAACACCACUCAUGCACCUUUACGGUCGACAUCCCCAAAGAACAUCCAGCAAUCAACCACCCACUUGGCACAAACACCAAGCAAG